UGAGAAACAUCUACAUCUGUUUAACCGUUCUUUUGUCGCUGCAUCUAACACAAGCAACUUGGGAUUACCUUUUUUAUAAGAGGGAUUCCGAGAUGCCAAAACAAGAUAGAUGGGUUAUGAUUGCGAGGGUUCUCAAGUGGCUAAGACAAGGUAGAGGGAAUAUGAUUGCGAGGGAAUCAGAGAGGUCAAAACAGGAUAGAGGAGUCAUGAUAGCGAGAAAAGCCAGACUGUUGCCCAUAGUAAGCCCCUGAUGAAGAAAGUGAAGUUAGUUGACAUGUCGGGCGUCCGGUGUACAAAUUCAAUUUUUUUGGAUGUUGACUGUCCCAAUGCUAUUUACUGGAUAUUAAAAAUAAAUUCAUAUUUACAAUG